rnacentral:guide_RNA from 1 species
UCAAACAAACAGAUAGAACCGGAGACGAGAAGAUUGAUAAU